GACGAACGCUGGCGGCACGCUUAACACAUGCAAGUCGAGCGAGAACCAGUCCUUCGGGACUGGGGACAGCGGCGAACGGGUGAGUAACACGUGAGUAAUCCACCCUCGGUACCGGGAUAGCCCGGGGAAACCCGGAUUAAUACCGGAUGGCCCAUUUGUCCUUCGGGAAUAAAUGGAAAAGGUAGCUUAGGCCUCCGACCGAGGACGAGCUCGCGGCGGAUUAGCUUGUUGGCGGGGUAACGGCCCACCAAGGCGACGAUCCGUAGCUGGUCUGAGA
rnacentral:rRNA from 1 species